rnacentral:lncRNA from 1 species
UUACGUUGGUCCCUCCUCAAAGCCAAGGAGAAUUGUAACUCAAGAACACAAGAACUGUUUUUAUCAAUUUUCAAGUCUACCUCAUUACCAUGACUUAGAAGUCUUUAAAUACACAAAGGAAAGCAAAUGACCGUUCACAAAUCCUACAAACUAGGAAACAUGGAGAAAUGGGAAUGUGGAGAUCAAUCCCCUAAAACUUAGG